CAUUCAAGGACUGAAAGUUGUCUUUCAGAGAUGUGCCAAAAUGUAUUGCAGCUUUUGAUGAGUUAGAAUACCAACUAUGUGCCUUUUAGCAUCAUCCACAU